ensembl:lncRNA
GAGGAGGGGAGAGGGAGUGAGGAAGAGGAGAGGGAGUGAGGGAGAGGAGGGGAGUGAGGGAGAGGAGGGGAGUGAGGGAGAGGAGGGGAGAGGGAGUGAGGAAGAGGAGAGGGAGUGAGGGAGAGGAGGGGAGGGGAUGAGGGAGAGGAGGGGAGUGAGGGAGAGGAGGGGAGAGGGAGUGAGGAAGAGGAGAGGGAGUGAGGGAGAGGAGGGGAGGGGAAGAGUGAGGAGAGAGGGAGUGAGGAAGAGGAGAGGGAGUGAGGGAGAGGAGGGGAGUGAGAGAGUGAGGAGAGAGGGAGUGAGGAAGAGGAGAGGGAGUGAGGGAGA